CUCGGUCCACUCUGUCUCUGUUGCCCUGUAAAAUCAACUAUUCUUCUUCCACUCUCCGCCGCCAACGCCAUACCAUCAUCGUCUAAUUCGCAAUUUGCUUAACUGGUUAAUUAACUAUAGCUGGAAUUGGCUUUUUUAGAAUUAUUUUUUAUUAUUAUUGUUACUAUUAUGAUAUUGUAGAGUAAAAAUUUUGUGUGAUGAGAAUGAGAUGAUGACUAUGAUAUGUUUCCCUAUUGGUUUGAUUGCCGUAAUGAUGGCAAACAUUCUGUAUUAGCUCUAUCUGAUCAUUCUCUAACAUAAUCUUUUAACUUUUUGUGUGCCUAAAUUAUUUUAUCUGCUGAUUUUUUAGGAUUUUGUAAGAAUGAAAUGAUGAUUUAUGUUUGUUUCCCGAUUGGUUGGAUAGCCGAGAUGAUGGCAUCUUCCAGUGCAUUAGCUCUAUCUGAUCAUUCUCUCGGCUUGUGAAUUGGCUGCUUACACUUUUUAUCUUAAUUUGAGAGUUCUGAAAAUAAAUGGUAGUUAUCUUUCUCGGCAGUAUGAUAGAAUGUAAGAGCGCCACAUCCAGUGUUAAAUUAUGCUACAUGCAGGGUUCUGCAUAAAAGCAUCAAUGACAUAAGUUCAGAGUUGAAAGAAAAAGAAAAUAAAAAUAUUUCAGUUUGAAGUAGUUUUGAUAGGUAGGCUUCAAAUUUGCUUGCUCUGCAUUUUCAUUUCCUUGCCCCUUAGUGGCAUCAUCGUUAGUUGCUUGAUAAAUUCUUCUACAUUCUUGUGGAUAAAUUUAUUAGCUUUACAAGCUGAAAUCUGAAAAACGACCAAUUAAAGGAAUGCUUCAAUUGGUUUGCUCUGGACCUGCAGGUUUAUAAUCUUACAUUUUAUAUGCUUUUUUCUUCCAUCGAGAAACUUCCGCAUUACACGGUUAUACAAUUUUGCAAUGUUAAGCUUACUGAUUACUGUUAUCAAUUUAGUCAGUCUUGAUCUUUAUGCUUAGAUAUCAGGAUUGAGAUUUGAAGGGGAGAAGAAGGAGAGAGUUUGACAACUGAUGUGAUGGAUUAAGAAAAUCAAUAAUUCUUGCCUAGAUCUAAUAUCAUAAACUCAUGACACAAAUAAGUGAAUCCUAUUUGAUUUCAUACAUUUGUGGGUGUCUUGGGUUCAUGGUGGUUCAGGACUAAGUAAUAAAAUAUCACUUUCUUUAGGGUUUUUUUUUAUUCAAAAGAACAUUACAAUGAAUAUAUGGAACUUUAGUAGAUUUUUAGUAAGAUAGAUUUACCGAGAGUUUAUGUGUGCUUUUGUAUAACAAAUCGCCAUUAAGCAGUUUCUACUACAUAAAACAAGUUGAAUUGCCAAAAUUUUAAACUUCAUAUCUAUUUUAAGGAAGUAAACAUAUUUUUCUGUAGGUAAAUUGAUUGGAAAAAAAGAGAUAAAAAGAAAACUAGAAAUCAAUUUUUACAAGUAAUCAAACCCUUUAAUUCAACUGUUCUAGAGAGAAUAAAUAGUUGUUUUUGAAAAUCAACAAAAGUGGAGCUGGUUUGGCAUUAAAAUCAUUCAAGUGGCAACAUUUUACGGCACAAAUAUCUAAGAAAUCUCAUGAUAUUUCUUAUGCUGAUUAUCAAGUUUAUGGCACAUCAACUUGCUUCAUGUUAAGGAUUCUAUAUAAUGUUCGUUUUUUGUUUUUGGAUUGGAUGACUUCUACCUUCAAGUUAAUAAGAUAAAGAGCUAAGCCAUCUGGUCGGUGUUGUCUAGGGUACAGGACUGGAGAUUUUGGCAUGCUCUUUUUAUUUAUUUUUUUAUGGUAAAUGGUGUUGGCUUAACUUGGAGUUUUGCUUAUUUGCCAAAUAAUAAAAUCAAGUAGCAGUGGAUGAACAAAAGUUUAUUCUCUCUACAGUUUGGAAUAAUGAUAGGUGUAUAAUAAUAUUCACAAUUCAUAUAAUUGAUAUAUAAAAGGAUAUCUCAGAAGAUGAACCAAAAAGAAAAAAUUUCCUUUUGCAGAUGGAUAAUAGAUUAAAUCUCUGAAUUUAGAUAGUCUAUAGUUAAAUGUAAGAAAUGUGUGUUCAAAUGCUCAAGGCUUUCUGCAUUUGGGGCUUUAGGAAUGGUCAGAUCCAUGUUGCAAUGGAGCUUCUUUACUUUAAAUUUUCAUCUUGUUCUUUGGCAUAGAAAGUAAGACUACUGCCAUAUAAAUGACGGUCAGAAAACAACUGAAUGUUUUACGUGGGUAUUGUGACAAAAAAAAUGUUUAGCAAAAAUCUCUGAAUUACUCUUAUAUGUUGCAUUCAGAUAUGAUAUUAGAAUACAUUCUGAAGCUCUUGCUUAAAAGUUCGAAACUUCAAAUUGAGAAAAAUGUCCCACAUUGCAAAUACCUGCGCUGGUAUAUAUUACUAUUCUUCUACAUUUCCUGGCACAAAUUUCACUGAGUUUGCUAAUAUCAAGGGUUUGAAACUUGAAGUGGAUUCUUGGCAUGCCUCCUUUGAUGUCCCUGCUAGUUUUCCUCUCUUAGUACAGUUUGUUUAUCAAAUAAUUGCUGCGCCAAUGUUACACGAUUUCUACAAUUAUGACAGUGAAGAUAGAGAAUGUUAUAAACUUUUCAUCAAAUUCACACAGGAUAUUUGCUUCUGAUGCUUGGGACCCAGGUACUUGUAGGUAUGUCUUGGUCAUAAGCUCCACAUAAUCUUUGGAACUUUGGUUGAUUAAUUAUGACCACUUGUUGGCUUGUAUUUUCUGGGUAUUUGGUUUUCAAAUGUUUUUGUCUUUCAAUUUUUUUUCCUUUUCGUUAUGUGCUAAUUAUACUGACAUGGCUAUGAGUUUGCCCCUUAGCGUUUUGAAUUUUGACAUCUUUAUUUUUGUUUUUAUUUCCCUUGUUUUGUUUGUUGUCUUGUAGUUUUGGCCUUUAGUCUGGUUUCUUGUCCAGCUCUAGCAUUGCAGAUUCUACUGUGGACCUUCUGGUUUGCGAUUGUUAUGACCCAUAAGACAAAUCUGUCAAAUUUAUUUAAAAAAAAAAAAUUAUGCUUUUUUUUUUUUCUGUUCUUUGUUUUUUAGGUAAAAAAAAAAAAAAAAAGAAGAAAAUAUUGAUGAUGCUUGCGGAUGGUGACUGCUUUGGAGAUUUCAUAUUAUUGAAUACCCAAGAUGACAGCUCUACUGUUAUCCUUUUGUUUUUGAAGUACUAGUACUAGAUGAAUGCAUGUCCACACCUUUACUAUUGUCUUUAUGUCUACAAACAAAUGGUUCCUUAGAUUUUUUUUUUUU